rnacentral:rRNA from 1 species
GCAAAGUCGUGAGGCGGAGCAAAUCACAAAACAACAGUCUCAGUUCAGAUUGUAGGCUGAAACUCGCCUAUAUGAAGUCGGAAUUGCUAGUAAUCGCGGAUCAGCAUGCCGCGGUGAAUACGUUCCCGGGCCUUGUACACACCGCCCGUCACACCAUGAGAGUCGAUAACACCCGAAGCCUGUAGUCUAACCUUAGGGGGGACGCAGUCGAAGGUGGGAUUGAUAAUUAGGGUGAAGUCGUAACAAGGUAAC